AAAUAGUACCCCAGCGUGCGAGGUGGGGGUUUUGUGCCGUAAAAGCCAGAUGUUUGGAAGUUUUCCGCUUUAGUUUUUGAGUGUGAACAACUAGAAAACUCAGAACUUCUUACUUUCUCCGAAGCUGUCUGGGCUCGAAGAAGCCAGGAUACUGACUGCGGAACUCCUGUCUCUCUCCUCUGACUGGACUUCACGGUGGCACACGCCGUGGAAAUGCCGUCCUCCAAAGCACAUGGGUCAGAAGCAGGGACCUUCUGAUCAGGACGGCUUGUUGAGCUCAGGCUCUUGGGCCUGAUCCCGAACGGACCAUUUCUCCCAUUCAGUAGAUUGCUGCAGCAUGAGUACUGGCUAAGCAAGCUCCUCCUCCUCCUUUUUGGAGAAGUUGCAGAGCAGAAGGCAAAGAAUACGGUAGGCACGUGGGGCAAGGUGCUGUCAGAGUGAAGUGAGUUGAAGCCGGCACAGAACUGGCCACCCAAGCCACAGCUGGAGCCUGAGAUGUGACAGAAGGGAUGUGAGGCGGGGCCCUGGGGGCAUCCAAAAUGCACCCCAUCUGCUUCGGCUGUUGCCCUGGACUGAUUUAGAUUCUCUGGCCCUGACUCUGUCAGUGUUUGGAGAAAACACAAUGAUCCACUGGGAAAGCAGAGCCUGAGAUCUUGGAGGAUCUGGAGCCAUCAAGAAACCACGGGAUGCCCAUGAUACAUCCCCUCUGUUAAAACAGCUCAGGUCAAGUUUUACUUUGUUGUUUGUGGCUCUCAAUUCUUAAGGCUAUUCUUUCUGUAUAUAUGCCAAUUUUAUCCCCUUCUGUAUUCCUGUGAGAUGAUUUUGGAGCUCCCAAGUGUACUCUGAAGUUCAUAUUAAUUUUUUUUUAAUUGAGAAAUCUGUUCUAUUUACUGUAGAUCAUUAUACUUACCAAUAUAAACCCGAGGACAUUCAGUGGGUUCCUGACACCAAUCUCCGAGUCUCCAAUCCCUCAUUUUUGAGAAACUGAUAAUAACGAGCACGUCAGUGUUCCUCAGCUUACCGUGAAGCUGGAGGUAGCCACCUGACCCUGUUUUAGCCAAGGAGAAGUCAGUGGAAGUUGGUUGAGUGGGGCUUCCAAGAAAACUUUUGCUGACUCAUUUAGAAGGACCUUUUGCCCUUUGCCCUUCCUCCUGUCUAGAAUGUGUAUAUGAUACCUGUAGAUACUGCAGGCAUCUUGUGGCCAUGCCACGAUAAACCAACGCAUUAAAGAUGGUGGAGUAGAAAUACAGAAAGGAUCUGGGGCUUUCAGGGCUGUACUGAGCUGCGGAACCAACGCUAGAAACCGUCUACAUUCAGACUACCAAUCAUGGAAGAAAAAUAAACCCUUA
rnacentral:lncRNA from 1 species